ACAGAACGUUUACCUGAGCAAGAAGAAAGAGCUAACAACUCUUCUGGCCACGCACCACCUAUUGGCUCUGCUUUACCUGCGGAUCCUUGUUUACUCAUUGUUCCUGCUGUUCCCAUGGUUUCUGCCACACCCAUGGUUCUGGAUGUCCCUUCCAAGAUCCCAUGGCACCAGAAAUGUCAAGAUCCCAUGGCACCAGAAAUGUCAAGAUCCCAUGGCACCAGAAAUGUCA